CGUGAUACCAAUAUGACGUUUCGAACUUUCACUUUCGGCGCGGGAGUGCUGUCUGCGUACCGUAUCGAAAGAAAGUUGCUGAAAUGGCAAAGACGAAAAAAGAAUGCAAGUAAAAGGUGAUGCACCUGAGAGCCCCUGCGUUGUUUGAGUGACUUCCUUUGCGAGGCAUGGCCACGGCAGCAGCCACUUCGUUUCCUGGGAUGGUCCACACGGAGUUGCGAUGGGAAUGGGACACAUUUGUGCACGAGCCUUGUGAGAUGCUCUGGCGAGAUGCUUGUUCGCCGUUUCAUAUGCAUGGUCCCCUGGCUUUGAUGUAGGCCAGCCCCUUGGGAUGGAUUCCCUAGGUAGUUGACGGGGUAACUUCGUCAAGACAUGACCAAGCAAGUGCUAGAAGCGGUGGCAACCGCCACCAUGCUUCAGAAUCUUCGUUCCGUGUGGUUCUUUGUAACAGCUAGUUCACUGCAGACAAUUGGUGUCUUCGGCAUCAUUCAUGAGAGUCAUCACUGUCCUUCAUCUACCAACUGAACUAUCUGGUUGCGAUCUUGGCGAAGUGUUUUCCAGAUGCGGAAGAGUCAUAAAAGCCUCAUCGAGAGUCCUUCAGAGAAUACCCUACUGUUAACGGGCGCAGAGAGGUUCCAAGCUUCAUCACCGUGAGACGAUUCCAAGCUAUGUACCUGUACGUAGGAAUGCGUAAGCUAUGGAGACGCUGCUGUCAAGAGAAUCAUUUCGCCACAGACUGUUCAACACCAAGGUGUACGCGUUGCGUGGGAUAUCGCCGAGGCGAUCUCCUACUGUGAACGGUGUAGAAAAUGCGAGGGGCUGACCACUGGGCAAGUCGGUGCCGAGUUACAACGUACGCAACGCGAGUGUCACAAACGAAUACUGGUCGACGAGGAUACUAGGGAAGAACCCUCAGCAUAUGACAUGGCCUCAUGGACUUGGAUGCUGCUUUAUCUGAUGUACAACAACCUUCAAAAUGCUUCAGAAUGCUUGCUCACACAGGGUGUAGUUGACCGACAAACCUUCUGCAGAAAAAUUGUAUGCAGUGUCAUUAAUGCACACGUGGUACAAUUAGCUUGCUGGCUUCCUCUUCCCCCCCCCCCUCCUUUGCAUACACAAACAGGGAUUUUCCCAGCACCGCCCCUCCCACACACACACACCGAACCUGCUCCCCAAAAUGCCUGCCAGAAAGGCCAGCAAAGCAGCAAAUAUGGGUGAUACACCCUCCCCUCGCGGGACGAAAACGUUGGGAAAAUCCUUGUACCGCCCUACGAGUGCUACGUUUGAUUAAAUAAAAAUCGCCGAAUAUUACCAGCAAGAAACCGUA